CCCGCGGGGAGGGGGGGGGGGGAGGGAAAAAAUGGGGGGAAAAAGGUGAAAAUUGGGGAUGGGGAAAAACGGCUCCGGGAAAUGGGGGAGGAAACGGGGGGACACCCCCGGGCAGGCCGCGGUCCCGCGCGCAGGUGAGCGGAGCUGUUCGUUCAGCACCGGCGGCCCCGAGGGGCUCCCGGGGGAGCGGCGGGCGCGGGGGAUGCGGGAGCCGAGCCGGGCAAGGCGGCGGCAGCGCUGGAACGAGAGGGGAAAACGUUAAAGAGCGAUACAACCACGGUGAAUCAAUUCACGCAGGUGCCCCGUGCUGGUGCCAGGCGGGUCGGGCAGCUGCGCUCCUUGCCGAGGGGACACGGCUCGCACCCGGCACAGCCCCGGCCCUGUGCCACAAACCCAGCUGAAGAUCUCCACCACCACUCCACUGUGCCCUCAACUUCUCACUUCUUAGUUCAGCCCAAGGAACAGCCUGUCCCCCUCUCCCGCCCAGAUUCACUGGAAAGAGGCGCUCCUGGCACUGCAUCUGCCCUGGUAACUCAUCUCCACCCUCCAGCACAGGAAGGCUCACAGGGGAAAGAACUGCAAUGCAUUUACUGGAAUAACUGAUGCAGGUGAAAUGUACCAAGUCAGCUAACAGGAACCUUUUGCCACUGCUUGAAGGGCACUUCCUCCUCCCCUACUCCACUGAUGCCUUUUAUAAAACGGAUUAAAACUUUCCACACAAGUAUUUUACAAACCAGAUCCUCCACUUACCUCACACCUGCAACAGGACCAGGACUUUGUGGAAAGCCACCUCUGUGGCUUCUGUCACCUGCAGAGUCAGAACACAAUGGAAAACCUUUUUUUUCCUUAAGGCAAAAAUGCAUUUUUUUGAGUAGAAGAGUCUCCCCCCAUCAGCCUGGCAAAGCAGACUGGAGAGUUUCCAUCUCAUGGAGACUACACUGUUUCCACAGUUUCCUGAAACAUGGAGAAAAUAAAAUACAGCAAAAGCGGUUUAAAAUCAA